UUAAAGCCGAUGAACAGGAGUGGUAGCCUGUUUACUACCGCAAGAGAGGAAAACCCUUAGGCUGGAAGGUUUUCUCGGUGAGGGACGGGUGACGUCGCCUGGGAGAAUCCCUGCUGAAAGGGCUUUAUGCCUUAGUAAGGGGGACGGUGGGACCGUUAAACCCGAAUGAGUUUUGCGUACUUAAUGUACGAAAUAAGGUGGUACCGCGGAAGAGCUCCUUCCGUCCUUAAC
rnacentral:ncRNA from 1 species